rnacentral:rRNA from 1 species
ACGUCCCAGUUCGGACUGCAGUCUGCAACCCGACUGCACGAAGCCGGAAUCGCUAGUAAUCGCGGAUCAGAAUGCCGCGGUGAAUACGUUCCCGGGUCUUGUACACACCGCCCGUCACACCAUGGGAGCUGGAAAUGCCCGAAGUCAGUGACCCAACCGAAAGGAGGGAGCUGCCGAAGGCAGGUCUGAUAACUGGGGUGAAGUCGUAACAAGGUAGC